GACGAAGGGAGCUAGCGUUGUUCGGAAUUACUGGGCGUAAAGCGCGUGUAGGCGGUUGCCAAAGUCGGGUGUGAAAGCCUUGAGCUCAACUCAAGAAAUGCACUCGAUACUUGGUGACUAGAGGACCGGAGAGGAUAGUGGAAUUCCCAGUGUAGUGGUGAAAUACGUAGAGAUUGGGAAGAACACCAGUGGCGAAGGCGGCUAUCUGGACGGUUUCUGACGCUAAGACGCGAAAGCGUGGGGAGCAAACAGG
rnacentral:rRNA from 1 species